GCAGUUGACGCUUGAUUUUCACCGAAGCUUGCUUCACCGAAAAUCAAGAGUAGCGAACGGGUGAGUAACGCGUGGGUAACCUACCUAUCAGCGGGGGAUAACUAUUGGAAACGAUAGCUAAUACCGCAUAACAAUGUUGGAUGCAUAUUCGACAUUUGAAAGUACCAACUGGUACACUGAGAGAUGGACCCGCGUUGUAUUAGCUAGUUGGUAGUGUAAUGGACUACCAAGGCGAUGAUACAUAGCCGACCUGAGAGGGUGAUCGGCCACA
rnacentral:rRNA from 1 species